GUCGUGGCCGUCGCAGGAGCUCGGCUGCGGGAAGACAGUGACCGGUGGGGCUCGGGCAAGUGCCCGGUUACAGACGCCCGCGCACGGCCAGCCUAUGGGCUCCGACGGCCUGACAUCACCCGGGGCCCGCCAAUCCCAGGCCGAACCCCCCCCAGCCGUCGCGGAUGCCACGGGGGCGCCAACUACUCUGCCACACCUGGCCGCGGCUCUGCACCCGCCCCGGGCCAGAUGUGACCCCGCCCCCUGCGCCUCUCCCUAAGCUGGGAGCUGAGCCCCCACCUUCAUCCCCGCCCGAGAGGAGAGAGGGCUGACCGUGGGCAGAGGGGGCCUCUCAUAUUUGGCUGCCGGCUCCGGGUCGCGUCCCCACCGUUUCCCUCCUGCAUCUGGAAACCAUCGCCAUCCACGAAAGCGACACCGACACCCGCGCUCAAGCCUCGGAUUUCAGGGGCCGUAAGGCGGGGUCGGGUGACAGCGCGGCUUCCCGCCCCGUCGCAGCUGCCCCCAACUAGGCCCAGCUCAGUGAGGGAGAGUGAGGCGGCCGGGCCAAAGACUGAGUGACCGGGUGGGGGCUGUCCCCUGCCCCACUCUCCAGCCCAUGCGUCCCUGCGGUGGCCUCAGACCCUUCACCCCGCCCGACCUGGCUCACGUUGCAGGAAACGCGACACCGCAGGAUUCGUUUUCUGGGCCAGCCCGCCGGCUCCGCGCCCCCUGCAGCCCGGAGGCUCCGACGCCACGACCCUGCUCCCACCUGCGGUCAGGCACCCGCGCGGGAGGCGCCGCGGCGACACAAAGAGCCCUUUGUAGAGCUUCCCGGCCCGGGCCCUGGCGUCUGCGGCCCAGCACGCACACAGCCGGGAGGGACGCACACAGCCGGGAGGGGCACACACAGCCGGGAGGGACGCACACAGCCCGGAGGGGGCUCGCACAGCCAGGAGGUGACCUCACAGACCUGGCACUUGGGCUCAGCGGUGGAGAGGGGGCACUGGCUGGGCCACCUGUCCUGUGGAUUUGGGCGGGGCCCACAGUCUGCGCCGGGAGCUCAACGAUUCCAGGGCCGCUGCAGCCCUACCCGCCCGGCCCCCUCUGCCUCCCAGAGAUGAAAGGGGAAAGCCACUGUGGGAGCUUGGUCUAAGGUGGCGUGAAGAGGGCAGCUACUGGAGCUGGCCUGCAGCUCUAGUGCUGGAAAGCCCUGGGGAGGCAGAAGGAAGGGCCAGAUUUGGAAGCAUGCAGACAGGCUUUCCCCCAAGAAUGAGACUCUCCACCACCUGGAAACAACUUGCCGAGGGCCAAGGUGGGCUCCGGGCACCACUUGGUACACCUGUUGUGGCCCCUGGCGUUGCUGGGCUUCCUCUCCCUGGCCCUGCCCUGCCCCAGCCCAGCACUUAUUGGGGGAAGACCAGGCACUCCGGUUUGGAGGGGAAGCACUGGAGGCUUUGGUGUGUCUAGAGGGCAGGGUCACCUGGAAGGGGAGGGUCUACUCCUUGGGAGUACAGAUGGCCACAUCCAAUCUUUGCAGGGCACCCUGCCAGGUCUGGAGGCCACCAUCUGGUGGCGUGAAGCAGGCAUUGCAAGUGGAUGGACGCCCAUGCUCAGGGCACGGUCAGGGUGUGUGUACACACAAGCCUGCAGUCUGCCGAGGCGAUUGUGAAUUUGUGUAUGUUUGAGUGUGUACGCAUUUGUGCACAUGCUUCUUUGUAUUGAUGAAUGUGUGUGCAUUGCUCUGUGGACAUGGUGUGUGUGUGUGUGCAUAUCUGUAGUAUGGAAAUAGAGCAUUGUGUGCUUGUGUGUAAGGUGGGUGUGUGCAGAUAUUAGCAUGGCUCUGUAUGUGUGUUCAUAUCUGUAUGCUGUGUGUACACAUGUACAAGUGUGUGCUUUUGUGUGUGAGUAGCUAAGAAUAAUGAAUGGUGGGUGGCACACGUGGAUUUUGUGGGUGGGGAGAGUACAUGUGGAUGUACAUGUAUGUCUGUGAUGAGCACACACAAGUAUGAGUGACAUCUGUCUCUCACCAGAAAGGGUGUCGCCUCCCCAUGUUUAAAAGCAAGU